GGAAAACCUGCAGUGUAUCAAAUACUUGUUCUCCCCACUGUAUAUGGAGUAGAAAAUAACAUGGCUAUAUACAGGCAGUACCGAGUUGAUUUGCAGGGGUAUGAGGUAAUUGAGGUAGCUACAAUGCCUUCACAAAAUAUUCAUACCCCUUGACUUAUUCCACAUAAUGACAAAGUGAAAACAUGAUUUUAGACAUUUUAGCAAAUUUAAGUAUAAGCUCUAAGAGCUUUCCACACGUGGAUUGUGCAACAUUUGCCAAUUUAUUAUUUUCAAAAUUCUGUAAGUUCUGUCAAAUUGGUUGUUGAUCAUCGUUAGACAACCAUUAUCAGGUCUUGCCAUAGAUGGUCAAGUAGAUUUAAGUCAAAACUGUAACUCGGCCACUCAGGAACAUUCACUGUCUUCUUGGUAAGCAACUCCAGUGUAUAACCGUUUUAGGUUAUUGUCCUGCUAAAAGGUGAAAUAAUCUCCCAGUGUCUGGUGGAAAGCAGACUGAACUAGGUUUUCCUCUAGGAUUUUGCAUGUGAUUAGCUCCAUUCCGUUUCUUUUUAUCCUGAAAAACAAUCCUUAACGAUUACUGCAAUACCCAAAUCAUGAUGCAGCCACCACUAUGCUUGAAAAUAUAGUGGUGUGGUUCUCAGUAAUGUGUUGUAUUGGAUUUGCCCCAAACAUAACACUUUGUUUUCAGGACAAAAAGUACAUUUUUUGCACUUGUUGCAAACAGGAUGCAUGUUUUGGAAUAUUUGUAUUCUGUACAGGCUUCCAUCUUUUCACUCUGUUAAUUAGGUUAGUAUUGUUGAAUAUCUACAAUGUUGUUGAUCCAUCCUCAGUUCUCUCAUAUCAUGGCAAUUAAACUCUGUAACUGUUUUACAGUCACCAAUGGACUCAUGGUGAAAUCCCUGAGCCUUUUCCCACCUCUCCGGCAACUGAGUUGCCGCCCUUUGCCUUGAUGACAGCUUUGCACACUCUUGGCAUUCUCUCAACCAGGUUCACCUUGAAUGCUUUUCCAACAGAAUUGAAGGAGUUCUCACAUAUGAUGAGCACUUGUUGGCUGCUUUUUCUUCACUCUGCGGUUCAACUCAUCCCAAACCAUCUGAAUUUGGUUGAGGUAGGGUGAUUGUGGAGGACUGGCCAUCUGAUGCAGCACUCCAUCACUCUCCUCCUUGGUCAAAUAUCCUUUACACAGCCUGGAGGAGUGUUGGGUCAUUGUCCUGUUGAGAAACAAAUGAUAGUCUCACUAAGCGCAAACCAGAUGGGAUGGCGUAACGCUGCAGAAUGCUGUCUUGACUUUUUUCUAUAAUGUAGAAAAUAGUGAAAAGAAAUAAAAACCCUUGAAUGAGUAGGUGUGUCUAAACUUUUGACUGGUACUGUAGUGUGUGUGUGUUGAAGUGUCAGUGUAAGUGUGUGUGAGUGUGUGGUUAGAGUCCAGUGUGUGUGAUUAGUCGUUGCAAAAGAGUUAGUGCAAAAAAGGGUCAAUACAGGUAGUUUGGGUAGCCAUUUAAUUAGCUAUUUAGCAGUCUUGCGGUUUAUGAAGAAAUUAGGAGUUCGAUUUCUGUUCCACUUAAAAAUGAUGAAGAGGCGUUGUGUGUUUGGACCAUGAUUGAUCCUUAGUUAACUUGAAUCUCUCAACCUGUUCCACUACAGCCCCUCAUGUGAAUUGGGGUGUCCUCGGCCCGCCGUUUCCUGUAGUCCACGAUCAGCUCCUUUGUCUUGCUUACUUUGAGGGAGAAGCUGUUGUCCUGGCACCACACUGCCAGGUCUCUGAUCUUCUCCUUGUAGGCUGUCUUAUCAUCAUUGGGGAUCAGGCUUACCAUUGGCAUGUCGUCUGCAAACUUAAUGAUGGCGUUGGAAUUGUGUGUGGCCACGUAGUCAUGGGUGAUUAUCAAGUACAGGAGGAGACUAAGCAUGCACUCCUGAGGGGCCCGCGUGUUGAGGGUCAGCGUGGCGGAUGUGUGGUUGCCUACCCUCACCACCUGGGGGAAGUCCGUUAGGAAGUCCAGGAUCCAAGUUGCAGAGGGAGGUGUUCAGUCCCAGGGACCUUAGCUUAGUGAUGAGCUUCGAGGGUACUAUGGUGUUGAACACUGAGCUGUAGUCAAUGAACAGCAUUCUCACAUUGGUGUUCCUUUUGGGAAAGACAGUGUGGAGUGCAAUACAGAGUACAUCAUCUGUGGAUCUGUUGGGCCGUAUGCGAAAUGGAUUGGGUCCAGGGUGUCUGGGAUGAUGGUGUUGAUGUGAGCCAUGACAAGACUUUCAAUGCAUUUCAUGGUUACAGAUGUGAGUGCUACAUGGCGAAAGUCAUUUAGACAGUUUACCUUGCCGUUCUUGGGCAUAGGGACUAUGGUGGUCUGCUUAAAACAUGUAGGUACAGUAUUACAGACUGGGUCAGGGAGAGGUUGAAAAUGUCAGUGAAGACACUUGCCAACUGGUAAACGCAUACUCUGAGUACGCGUCCUGGUAAUCCGUCUGGCCCUGUGGCCUUGGGAAUGUUAACCUGGUUAAAAGGUCUUACUCACAUCAGCUUCAGAGAGCGUGAUCACACAAUCGUCUGGAACAGCUGGUUUUCUCACGCAUGGUUCAGUGUUGCUUGCCUCGAAGUGAGCCUAGAAGGCAUUUAGCUUGUGUCACUGGCCAGCUCGUGACUGGGUUUCCCUUUGUAAUCCAUGAGUUUGCAAGCCCUGCCAUAUCCGACGAGCUCAGAGCCGGUGUUGUAGUAUCAGAUCUUAGUCCUGUAUUCACGCUUUGCCUGUUUGAUGGUUCGUCGGAGGGCUUAGCGGGAGUACUUAUAAAUGUCUGGGUUAGGAUCCCGCUCCUUGAAAGUGACAGCUCUAGCCUUUAGCUCAGUGUGGAUGUUGCCUGUAAUCCAUGGCUUCUGGUUGGGAUAUGUACGUAGGUCACUGUGGAGACUAAAAAGUGCAUCGACGACGUAAUGAAGCCGGUGACUGAUGUGGUAAACUAAACAAUGCCAUCGGAUGAAACCCGGAACAUAUUCCAGUCUGUGCUAGCAAAACAGUCCUGUAGCGUAGCAUCCGCUUCAUCGGACCACUUCCUAAUUGAGCGUGUCACUGGUACUUCCUGUAUGAGUUUUUGCUUGUAAGCUGCAAUCAGGAGGAUAGAGUUAUGGUCAGAUUUGCUAAUCUUUGUGCCUAUGUGUGCGUGUGCAUGUGUGUGUGCGUGUGUGUGUGUGGCUAUGAGGGAUAAGAUCGUGGCUCUUAUUCGUUGAUCUAUUUUAAGCAAAUCAUCAUUUUUAAGUGGAACAGAAAUCUGACUCCUAAUUUCUUCCUCCCCCUCCCCUCACCGCCCUUCCUCCCCCUCCCCUCACCGCCCUUCCUUCCCCUCUCCCCUCACCGCCCUUCCUCCAUCUCUUUCAUUCCUAUUGUGAGUUGAGUGACCUGCAUUUGGAGGGUGUCUCAGGGGGAGUGGGAUAUACAAAAAAUACACUACAUGUGUGAAACAGGACAAAUAUAAGCACCCCCUAUAGGACCUUUAGAGCCUAUUCAGAAUGUAGAACAUUGAUCUAUCUUUGGCCUGAAGCUCUUCCUCUUCUCCUCUUCCUCGGUUCCUCUCCACCUCUCUGUCAGUACUAAAUCACCAACAUUACAGCUCGCUGUCAAUAGAUAGACAUUGUGUGUUCGUGUGCAUGCGUGUGUGCAGUGGUGUAAAGUACUGAAGUAAAAAUUAUUUAAGUACUACUUAAUUAAGUACUGUUUGGGGGGUAUCUGUAUCUUACUUUUUAUAUUUGUGAAACUUUUACUUUAUUACAUUCCUAAAGAAAAUAUGUACUUCUUACUCCCAUACAUUUUCCCUGAUGCCUGAAAGUACUUGUUACAUUUAGAAUGCUCAGGCAGGACAGCAAUAUGGUCCAAUUCACACACCAUCAAUAUAACGCCUUGUCAUCCCUACUGCCUCUGAUCUGGCAGAUUCAAACACAAAUCUGUGUGCCCGUUUGUUUGUAAAUUUUAAAAACAAGAACAUUAUGUCAUCUGGUUUGCCUCAUAUAAGGCAUUUGAUGUAUAGUAUUUACUUUUUCUUUUUACUCAAGAAUGACAAUUGAGUACUUUUCCCAUUACUGUACUUAAGUAAAUUUAAAACCAGAUACUUUUAGACUUUACUCAAGUAGAAUUUUACUGGGUGACUUUUCAUAUCCAUUAAGGUUUUUAUCUUUACUUUUACUCAAGUCUGACAAUUCAGUAUUUUUUCUACCACUGUUUGUACACCAUUGUUUGGGGGAAUUAUGUAUCCUGUAUUAUGUACCCUGUAUUGCUACACACAAUAGCCUGGUGUCUGUUUGUCCCUCUGCCCCUCCUCUCUGUCAGUCUGUCCUUUCGCAAGACAGAAGCCACUCGUCAGUAAAAGGCACAUUACAGUCCGCUUAGAGUUUACCAAAGGGCACCUAAAGGACUCUCAGACCAUGAGAAACAAGAUUCUCUGGUCUGAUGAAACCAAGAUUGAGCUCUUUGGCCUGAAUGCCAAGCAACACGUCUGGAGGAAACCUGGCACCAUCCCUAUGGUGAAGCAUGGUUGUGGCAGCAUUAUGCUGUGGGGAUGUUUUUCAGCGGCAGGGACUGGGAGACUAGUCAGGAUCAAGGGAAAGAUCAACGGUGCAAAAUACAGAGAGAUCCUUGAUGAAAACCUGCUCCAGAGCGCUCAGGACCUGACUGGGGUGAAGGUUCACCUUCCAACAGGACAAUGACCCUAAGCACACAUCCAAGACAACGGAGGAGUGGCUUCGGGACAAGUCUGAAUGUCCUUGAGUGGCCCAGCCAGAGCCCGGACUUGAACCCCAUCGAACAUCUCUGGAGAGACCUGAAAAUAGCUGUGCAGCGACGCUCCCCAUUCAACCUAACAGAGCUUGAGAGGAUCGGCAAAGAAUGGGAGAAACUCCCAAUACAUGUGCGCCAAUCUUGUAGCGUCAUACCCAAGAAGACUCAAGGCUGUAUCGCUGCCAAAGCACAAUUACAAGGGCUGUUGUUGGAGUACAAGAUGAUGCAAUGCACUUCAGACUACAUCCCCAGGAUGAUGAUGUAAUGUCAGCUGGCCUGGUUACUGUAACCAUGCCAACAAUAUUAAUUUAUAUUUAAACACCCGUCAUGAUGAUGCUCUACACACACGUACACGCACAUACACAACCAUGGGAGAAACUAGGUUAAAGCAUUACUGCAUUCAGAACAGAGUUGUAGAACAGUAUUCACAUUUCAAACAUGGUUAGAACUGCCUGAGGGGGACUGAGAGACAUAGAGGAACUGAGAGGGACUGAGAGAAACAUAGAGGAACUGAGAGGGACUGAGAGAGACAUAUAGGAACUGAGAGGGACUGAGAGAGACAUAGAGGAACUGAGAGGGACUGAGAGAGACAUAGAGGAACUGAGAGGGACUGAGAGAGACAUAGAGGGACUGAGAGAGACAAAGAGGAGCUGAGAGGGACUGAGAGAGAGAGACAUAGAGGAACUGAGAGGGACUGAGAGAGAGAGACAUAGAGGAACUGAGAGAGAGAGACAUAGAGGAACUGAGAGGGACUGAGAGAGACAUAUAGGAACUGAGAGGGACUGAGAGAGAGACAUAGAGGAACUGAGAGAGACAAAGAGGAACUGAGAGGGACAGAGAGAGAGACAUAGAGGGACAGAGGGGGACUGAGAGAGAGAGAGACAGAGAGGGACAGAGGGGGACUGAGAGAGAGAGAGACAGAGAGGGACAGAGGGUAGGUGUACUUAGCACUCUAAGCAGUCUUUUUCACUCUCAUUCCUGUGUGUUUCUGUCUGUCUAAAACAGAGCCCCUCCUCCAGACUGACAGUUAGAGACUGGAUCUGGUCAGAGACCACUGAUCACCAUCAGAUGGAGCUCUCCUCUUGCACAAGACAGACAACAUUCAUGUGUAUCCACCAUAAGUUCACAUGGACAGUUUGAGUGUUGUGUUUUGUGAUCAAACCAUGAAUAAAACUGUUAGGGUGCUGUAAGUGUUUAGGUAUGUAUGGCCUUAGACUGGAGGGACUGUAUCACCAAUGCUGUGGUUCACCACUACAUUAUAGUAUGUAUGCCUACUUGCCCAGAAGGAGAGAUAUGUUGACUUCUAUUGACCACCAGAUGGGGUUGUUGAACCUGUUUUUGUCUCAGUGCCACGGCUUCACCAGGCAGAUCUGCUAUUAUAGGAAAGAUAAACUUACUGUUCAGAUCAUCAUUCAGAGUCAUGGGAGGGAUUAAAAUGCUUUUGGUAAUCCCCAUCUGUGUGUCCUAGCCUACUCAAUUAUCUCAUACGGUAUAUCACUCCUCAUGUGGCUACAAUGAAUGUUUAUCAUACUAGUUAUAUUUAGCUCCUAACCACACACACACACACACACACACACACACACUCUCAUUCCUGUGUGUUUCUGUCUGUCUAAAACAGAGCCCCUCCUCCAGACUGACAGUUAGAGACUGGAUCUGGUCAGAGACCACUGAUCACCAUCAGAUGGAGCUCUCCUCUUGCACAAGACAGACAACAUUCAUGUGUAUCCACCAUAAGUUCACAUGGACAGUUUGAGUGUUGUGUUUUGUGAUCAAACCAUGAAUAAAACUGUUAGGGUGCUGUAAGUGUUUAGGUAUGUAUGGCCUUAGACUGGAGGGACUGUAUCACCAAUGCUGUGGUUCACCACUACAUUAUAGUAUGUAUGCCUACUUGCCCAGAAGGAGAGAUAUGUUGACUUCUAUUGACCACCAGAUGGGGUUGUUGAACCUGUUUUUGUCUCAGUGCCACGGCUUCACCAGGCAGAUCUGCUAUUAUAGGAAAGAUAAACUUACUGUUCAGAUCAUCAUUCAGAGUCAUGGGAGGGAUUAAAAUGCUUUUGGUAAUCCCCA